GAUGUGUAUGGAUAUAAAUCCAUGGAGUCCCAAACAGCACCGUUUGGGAAGCAGUCCAUAUUGUCCUAUAAAGUCUUAGAAUGACCGGAUCCUCUGUUGUCUAGAGGUGAAGGUCUCUCUACCUACAUUCGUCUUCUUGCUUUGACCAACACAUGAUUCUAGAGCUGUAGGUCUCUCUACCUACAUUCGUCUUCUUGCUUUGACCAACACAUGAUUCUAGAGCUGUAGGUCUCUCUUCCUACAUUCGUCUUCUUGCUUUGACCAACACCUGUUCCAGGUUAAACCAGGUAUAGUGGAGAGUGACAGAGUUCCAGGGUAACCAGGUAUAGUGGAGAGUUCCAGGUAUAGUAGAGAGUUCCAGGUUAAACCAGGUAUAGUGGAGAGUUCCAGGUUAAACCAGGUAUAGUGGAGAGUGACAGAGUUCCAGGGUAAACCAGGUAUAGUAGAGAGUUCCAGGUUAAACCAGGUAUAGUAGAGAGUUCCAGGUUAAACCAGGUAUAGUGGAGAGUUCCAGGUUAAACCAGGUAUAGUGGAGAGUGACAGAGUUCCAGGUUAAACCAGGUAUAGUGGAGAGUGACAGAGUUCCAGGUUAAACCAGGUAUAGUAGAGAGUGACAGAGUUCCAGGUUAAACCAGGUAUAGUAGAGUGACAGAGUUCCAGGGUAAACCAGGUAGAGUGGAGAGUUCCAGGUAUAGUAGAGAGUUCCAGGUUUAACCAGGUGUAGUAGAGAGUGACAGAGUUCCAGGGUAAACCAGGUAUAGUAGAGAGUGACAGAGUUACAGAGUUCCAGGUAUAGUAGAGAGUUCCAGGGUAAACCAGGUAUAGUAGAGAGUGACAGAGUUCCAGGGUAAACCAGGUAUAGUAGAGUGACAGAGUUCCAGGGUAAACCAGGUAUAGUAGAGAGUGACAGAGUUCCAGGGUAAACCAGGUAUAGUAGAGAGUGACAGAGUUCCAGGGUAAACCAGGUAUAGUGGAGAGUUACAGAGUUCCAGGUAUAGUAGAGAGUUCCAGGGUAAACCAGGUAUAGUAGAGAGUGACAGAGUUCCAGGGUAAACCAGGUAUAGUAGAGUGACAGAGUUCCAGGUUAAACCAGGUAUAGUGGAGAGUUCCAGGUAUAGUAGAGAAUUCCGGGUUUAACCAGUGGAGAUACAUUAUUAAUAGUGGAGAGGACCCCAACACUGCUAGUUUUAUCACAUACAGUAUAGGAUGGUUGUGUGUUGCUGUUGGGGGAGGGUCUACCCAGACGAUAACCAGUGAUGUUGCUGUUGGGGGAGGGUCUACCCAGACGAUAACCAGUGAUGUUGCUGUUGGGGGAGGGUCUACCCAGACGAUAACCAGUGAUGUUGCUGUUGGGGGAGGGUCUACCAGACGAUAACCAGUGAUGUUGC
ensembl:lncRNA